GAGGCACCAGAGGAGGAACAAAGGGCCAAGGUUUUGAGAGGCGUGAACGCAACCAAGCAACCCGCGCAGGAAAGAACGGCCCUAUGGGAUUGUAAACUUGUUUUUAUAAGGGAAUAAAGUGAGAGUCGGGACUCUUUUUGCAUGUACCUUAUGAAUAAGGACCGGCUAAUUCCGUGCCAGCAGCCGCGGUAAUACGGAAGGUCCCGGGCGUUAUCCGGAUUUAUUGGGUUUAAAGGGAGCGUAGGCCGGAAAUUAAGCGUGUUGUGAAAUGUAGACGCUCAACGUCUGCACUGCAGCGCGAACUGGUUUCCUUGAGUACGCACAAAGUGGGCGGAAUUCGUGGUGUAGCGGUGAAAUGCUUAGAUAUCACGAAGAACUCCGAUUGCGAAGGCAGCUCACUGGAGCGCAACUGACGCUGAAGCUCGAAAGUGCGGGUAUCGAACAGGAUUAGAUACCCUGGUAGUCCGCACGGUAAACGAUGGAUGCCCGCUGUUGGUCUGAAUAGGUCAGCGGCCAAGCGAAAGCAUUAAGCAUCCCACCUGGGGAGUACGCCGGCAACGGUGAAACUCAAAGGAAUUGACGGGGGCCCGCACAAGCGGAGGAACAUGUGGUUUAAUUCGAUGAUACGCGAGGAACCUUACCCGGGCUUGAAUUGCAGAGGAAGGAUUUGGAGACAAUGACGCCCUUCGGGGCCUCUGUGAAGGUGCUGCAUGGUUGUCGUCAGCUCGUGCCGUGAGGUGUCGGCUUAAGUGCCAUAACGAGCGCAACCCCUCUCCUUAGUUGCCAUCAGGUUAAGCUGGGCACUCUGGGGACACUGCCACCGUAAGGUGUGAGGAAGGUGGGGAUGACGUCAAAUCAGCACGGCCCUUACGUCCGGGGCUACACACGUGUUACAAUGGCAGGUACAGAGAGACGGUCCCUUGCAAAAUGGAUCAAAUCCUUAAAGCCUGUCUCAGUUCGGACUGGGGUCUGCAACCCGACCCCACGAAGCUGGAUUCGCUAGUAAUCGCGCAUCAGCCAUGGCGCGGUGAAUACGUUCCCGGGCCUUGAAAAACCGCA
rnacentral:rRNA from 1 species